UUUUAAAAUUGUUUCUCUAGCAGAGCUGUAGAGACUUGUGAUGUUGGGCUGAUUGAUAGUGUUAAUUAUUUGAUUUAAGUUAUUUGCACUUUAAUUUAUUGAAGAGAAUAACUUUUAUUUUUCUUCUAUGAACAAGACUGGAAGGAGUCCUGUUGAGGAUUUAGAUUCCUCCUCUUUUGAAAAGUGCAACCGAUUGAAGUUAUAAAGGGCUCUGGGGUGUUUUGCCAGGCAGAAGUGUGGAAAGCAGCCCUCCUUGCCACCUCUGCUACUGCCAUGGUGUGGAAUCUGCUGCUGGGCACAUUUGAUCUGGAGACUUUGCUGAAAAACAACCUGAAUGGUGGGAAGCCAACCAGAGGGGAUGGGGAGCAGCUGGUCGCCCUUGACCAAAUUAAAAAGGCAUCAUUAUUGAUGCUACAUUGAAGAAGUGUCCGUCAGCAGCCGAGGGGAGAUGGGCA